GAUGAACGCUGGCGGCGUGCUUAACACAUGCAAGUCGAACGGAAAGGCUCCUGCUUGCAGGGGUACUCGAGUGGCGAACGGGUGAGUAACACGUGGGUGAUCUGCCCUGCACUUCGGGAUAAGCCUGGGAAACUGGGUCUAAUACCGGAUAGGACGAUGGUUUGGAUGCCAUUGUGGAAAGUUUUUCGGUGUGGGAUGAGCUCGCGGCCUAUCAGCUUGUUGGUGGGGUAAUGGCCUACCAAGGCGUCGACGGGUAGCCGGCCUGAGAGGGUGUACGGCCACAUCGGGACUGAGAUACGGCCCAGACUCCUACGGGAGGCAGCAGUGGGGAAUAUUGCACAAUGGGCGCAAGCCUGAUGCAGCGACGCCGCGUGGGGGAUGACGGCCUUCGGGUUGUAAACUCCUUUCGCUAGGGACGAAGCGCAAGUGACGGUACCUGGAGAAGAAGCACCGGCUAACUACGUG
rnacentral:rRNA from 1 species